GCAUGCUUUAUGUGAAGGCCCUGGAGAUUUUUCAAUGAUUUUGCUAUUUAUAAUAUGUUCUUUUUUUUUUUUCUUUCUUGAGACAGGUUCUCACUCUGCCUCCCAGGCUGGUGUGCAGUGGCGUGAUCAUGGCUCACUGCAGCCUUGACCUCCCAGGCUCAAGCAAUCUUCCCACCUUAGCCUCCCAAGUAGCUGGGACUGCAGGUGCACACCACCACACCUGGCUAAUUUUUUAAACCUUUUUAUAGGAUGGAAUCUCUCCAUAUUGUCCAGACUGGUCUUGAAUUUCUGGGCUCAAGUGAUCCUCCUGCCUCAGCCUCCCAAAGUCCUGGUAUUACAGGCAGUAUGUUUUUAUCUUCAGGGGAAAAACUGAUCAAACCAUUAUGAAAUAGUUGUGCAUUGUACCCCAGGAGAGAAUUCCACUGUCCUCCGUUCUGAUAUUAUUAGGUAGUGUAAUACAUAACCACAGCCUUUCAGUGUCAUUACUGGACAUGUUUCUCCUUUCCAAUGCCUGCCUGAAGCCUCUGCUAUAAGCUGCAGGCCACAGACUGCAUCUUCAACAAAGAAAAACAC
rnacentral:lncRNA from 1 species